rnacentral:sRNA from 1 species
AAAUCGCUUAAUUUAUUUUAAAAAUAAAGCGGGGGACCCACCUUUUGGGGCGUAUUUCUCAUUUGAGAAUAGGACAACUCUUUCAGUCCGAGCCCGUCAGCUAACCUCGUCAGCGUUGAUUGAGA